rnacentral:lncRNA from 1 species
CCAACACAUACUCCUAUACCACCAAUUCACAAACCACCAACUCAUUCUCCUAAACCACCAAAGUAUACUCCUAAGCCAACACCUUGUCCACCACCAUCAUCAACACCAAAACCACCACAUGUUCCAAAACCACCUCAUUACCCUAAACCACCAAUAGUUCAUCCACCUCAUGUUCCAAAACCACCAGUUGUGAAACCACCAAUAGUUCAUCCACCUUAUGUUCCAAAACCACCGGUGCAUCCACCUUAUGUGCCAAAACCACCAGUGCAUCCACCUUAUGUCCCAAAACCACCAGCUGUGAAGCCACCUUAUGUUCCUAAACCACCAGUUGUCCCAGUAACACCACCAUAUGUUCCUAAACCACCCGUUGUGAAACCACCAAUUGUUUAUCCACCCCAUGUUCCGGUUCCUCUUCCUCCGGUAGUACCAAUAACACCACCUUAUGUACCAACACCACCAAUUGUGAAACCACCAAUUGUUUUUCCACCACAUGUUCCUGUUCCUAUUCCUCCUUUUCCUCCCGUUGUACCAAUAACACCAC